rnacentral:rRNA from 1 species
CACGUAGGGAGCAAGCGUUGUCCGGAUUUAUUGGGCGUAAAGAGCUCGUAGGUGGUUCGGUAAGUCAGGUGUGAAACCUCCAGGCUCAACCUGGAGACGCCACUUGAUACUGCUGUGACUGGAGUCCGGUAGGGGAGCGUGGAAUUCCUGGUGUAGCGGUGAAAUGCGCAGAUAUCAGGAGGAACACCGGUGGCGAAGGCGGAUCUCUGGGCCGAUACUGACGCUGAGGAGCGAAAGCGUGGGGAGCGAACAGG